GAUGAACGCUGGCGGCGUGCCUAAUACAUGCAAGUCGAGCGAACAGACGAGGAGCUUGCUCCUUUGACGUUAGCGGCGGACGGGUGAGUAACACGUAGGUAACCUACCUAUAAGACUGGGAUAACUUCGGGAAACCGGAGCUAAUACCGGAUAAUAUUUCGAACCGCAUGGUUCGAUAGUGAAAGAUGGCUUUGCUAUCACUUAUAGAUGGACCUGCGCCGUAUUAGCUAGUUGGUAAGGUGACGGCUUACCAAGGCAACGAUACGUAGCCGACCUGAGAGGGUGAUCGGCCACACUGGAACUGAGACACGGUCCAGACUCCUACGGGAGGCAGCAGUAGGGAAUCUUCCGCAAUGGGCGAAAGCCUGACGGAGCAACGCCGCGUGAGUGAUGAAGGUCUUCGGAUCGUAAAACUCUGUUAUUAGGGAAGAACAAACGUGUAAGUAACUGUGCACGUCCUGACGGUACCUAAUCAGAAAGCCACGGCUAACUACGUG
rnacentral:rRNA from 1 species